GACCGCGUAGCUCAGUUGGCAGAGCAUUUGGGCUAGUAUUCCAAAGGUCGUAGGUUCGAAUCCCACCGUGGCCG